ensembl:misc_RNA 7SK 7SK RNA
GGAUGUGAGGGCGAUCUGGCUGUGACAUCUGUCACCCCACUGAUCGCCACAGUUGAUUCAGCUAGUCUGGCUGGCUAGGCAGGUGUCCCUUUACUCCCUCACAGCUCCAUGUGCUUCCCUCCCAAAUCUGUGCGCUUGGUUGAGGAUGGCCUUCCCCGAAUAGAGACUGACUGGUCUUCAGUUGAGGGUAUACGAGUAGCUGCGCUCCCCUGCUAGAACCUGCAAACAAGCUCCCAAGAAUAAUAAACACACCUUCUCUGACCCAUCUUGGAUGGAGCUAGAAGGAAUUAUGUUAAGUAAGAUAAACCAAAAAUAUGAGUAUAGGAUGAUCCUACUC